GACGAACGCUGGCGGCGUGCUUAACACAUGCAAGUCGAACGGAAAGGCCCUGCUUUUGUGGGGUGCUCGAGUGGCGAACGGGUGAGUAACACGUGUGUAACCUGCCCUUGACUUUGGGAUAACUUCAGGAAACUGGGGCUAAUACCGGAUAGGAGCUCCUGCUGCAUGGUGGGGGUUGGAAAGUUUCGGCGGUUGGGGAUGGACUCGCGGCUUAUCAGCUUGUUGGUGGGGUAGUGGCUUACCAAGGCUUUGACGGGUAGCCGGCCUGAGAGGGUGACCGGCCACAUUGGGACUGAGAUACGGCCCAGACUCCUACGGGAGGCAGCAGUGGGGAAUAUUGCACAAUGGGCGGAAGCCUGAUGCAGCAACGCCGCGUGCGGGAUGACGGCCUUCGGGUUGUAAACCGCUUUCGACUGUGACGAAGCGUGAGUGACGGUAAUGGGUAAAGAAGCACCGGCUAACUACGUG
rnacentral:rRNA from 1 species